AUGACAGCUCUCCCUUGGAUGGCUUUGCUGGUUCCUCACCAGCCAGCGCCCCCAUUUUUCCUGCAGCACCCUGAUCUGCACUCCCUGAGGGGCUCCCACUGUCCGCGGUGUGAGGAUGUCCCUGGCUUGAAGAAAGACGACAGAACACUGGAGACCAAGUACUUGCAGCCUUCUGCUCUGCGGCCCCUCCUCACUCCAGGGAUGCCGCCUUGGGUCUGGAGACUGUUAGAGGAAACCCCAAGAGGUGCAGGCACUGAGCCUCUCAGGACAAUGACCUGGGGUCCCAGCUCCCCUGGAGGGGCCUCCUCAUGAUUGUUUGGGGGUUGAUCACAGACCAAGAGUGACGAGUGAUGUCACCCUGUGACUCAUGGCCGGACCUUCUUGCCCCUAUUGUCUCAGCACAACAUUAUUCGACUUUUCCCUCAGCGUGGGUGAGCAGAGGAAAAGCCCUGUGGCUCUGGGGACUUGGGAUCCAGAGUUGAAGACCCUUCAGCUGGCUCUGCCCUGCAAGUGCCACAGAGUGCCAUGGCCCAGGAAGACAGGUUUUCUUCCAUCUAGGCCAGGCCAUCCAGUGGCCAUCCUCCGUGUCCUCCCGCCUCCUCCUGGUGUGAGUUCUGAAAACCAAGAAUUUGUUCCU
rnacentral:lncRNA from 1 species